rnacentral:rRNA from 1 species
GACGAACCGUGCGAACGUUAUUCGGAAUCACUGGGCUUAAAGCGCGUGUAGGCGGGCCGGCACGUCGACUGCUGAAAUGCCCCGGCUCAACCGGGGCGCGGCAUCGAUACGACCGGCCUGGAGGGGAGUAGGGGGGUCGGGAACUUCCGGUGGAGCGGUGAAAUGCGUUGAGAUCGGAAGGAACGCCCGUGGCGAAAGCGCGGACCCUGGACUCCUGCUGACGCUGAGACGCGAAAGCCAGGGGAGCCGAACGGG